rnacentral:rRNA from 1 species
UACGUAGGGGGCAAGCGUUGUCCGGAAUCAUUGGGCGUAAAGAGCGUGUAGGCGGCUCGAUAAGUCCGCUGUGAAAGUCCAGGGCUCAACCCUGGAAGGCCGGUGGAAACUGUCGGGCUAGAGUCCGGAAGAGGCGAGUGGAAUUCCCGGUGUAGCGGUGAAAUGCGCAGAUAUCAGGAGGAACACCAGCGGCGAAGGCGGCGCUCUGGGCCGGUACUGACACUGAGGAGCGAAAGCGUGGGUAGCAAACAGG